ensembl:lncRNA
GGGGAGGCCCAGCCCUAACUGCUGGGCCAGACAUCAUCGGCACCUGAUUGAAUGUCAAGGACAGUGUGAGGGGGCAGGGCCAAGUCUCCCCAGCAGUUUGAUACUCAUGGAACUGAGGCUCAAAGGAGGGACUUCUGACGAUCUCAGAAUUCCACCUGGGCAGGUCGGAGAGUUCACAGCCCCUCGUCACUCGGAGGAAGGGAAUGCAGAGGAGCAAGGAUGCAGGUUCCUGAGACCAUACAGAGAGGCCUUCCCUGGGCGGUUUCCAGACCAAGAAGCCCACGCCCUUCCCCGGGAGCCAAGCCAAGAAGGUCCUGGGACUGAGGGCCCCAUAUGCCGCUCAUUUUCCAACCCCUCUGGGCAGGGCUGCCUCCGCUCCAUGCCUCAGAGAGAUCUUUGCAAUGAUGGAUAAGCCGUGGCCCCGACGGCCCUGGCCCUGGGGAGGAAAAAAAACAUCUUUUGCAGUUUCGUGUAAAGCCUCCCACUUUUCGCUUAAUAAGUGCUGAAAGAGGCACAAACAGAGGGACCCCGAGCUUGCCAUGACUAACAAGAUGACCACAUCAGGCAGAGCCGAGCUGGGGGAGAGGACCGCGCCGGCCGGCCGCCCGGCUUCCCGGCGCGGAGGUGUCCGAUUCCCGAUUCCCUCCCGGGACGCUCCGCCAACAGUGCUUUGAAGCCAUGCCUAGGAGCCCGGAGCAGGGAGGCACGGAGCGAAGUGGGGAAAGGGCUGGUCCUCCCUCCCGCCUCCCGCAGGAUGGGCACAGAUCGCCCAAGAUAAAGGAACCGCAGCCUCCUCCAACUUGUGCUGAGUCGCUCUUUUCAAAAGCCCUUUCAGAUGGUUUCACUUCUCCGCGCGCGCUUUGUUGAAAGAUGUAAAAAUUUCAAACCACCACAGAGUAAACAUUUCAAAACUCGCUCUUUGCAAAAAUCAGUCACAUUUUCCCAAAAAAAAAAAAAAAAAAAAAUCUUGAAUUCCAUCUCUCCACGCACCACCACUCCCCCCGUCUCCCCCGCCCCCUCAAUCCCUUUUUCUGCGCUCUUUGGAUU